CAUCCUGGCAAGGCAGGCCAAUGUUCCAAUCCAAGAAAUACAGAGAACACCACAAAAACACUCCUCAAGGAGAGCAAACCCAAGCGACAUAAUCAUCAGAUUCACCAGGAUUAAAUGAAGCAGAAAAUG